rnacentral:rRNA from 1 species
UUGGACCCUGAUAUCAGACAAGACUACCCCGCUGAACUUAAAGCAUAUCAAUAAACCGGAGGAA